CUAUUAGAUGUUUUCGUACCAAAGUUCAGCAGUAUAACAGUCUGACGCCAUAUAUUUAUUUAACUAAAAUAUGGCUUGUGAUAUUUUGCUGCAUUUGAGGUAAUGUUCUUAAUAACAUUAAGAAAAUGAUAGUAAUUAUCCCCUUUCUUUUUAAUGCAUAUUUAAAUGGAAAUGGUUUUUUGUGAUCAAGAUGAAAAGAAUAGAGCACAUAUUUCGAAGUGGCUAAGGUUAUCCAUUAGAA
rnacentral:lncRNA from 1 species